rnacentral:rRNA from 1 species
UACAGGGGGUGCAAACUUUGCUCGGAAUUAUUGGGCGUAAAGCGCGCGUAGGCGGCCACUUAAGUCGGAUGUGAAAGCCCCUGGCUCAACUGGGGAAGUGCACCCGAAACUGAGCGGCUUGAAUGCAAAAGAGGGUCGCGGAAUUCCCGGUGUAGAGGUGAAAUUCGUAGAUAUCGGGAGGAACACCGGUGGCGAAGGCGGCGACCUGGGUUGACAUUGACGCUGAGGCGCGAAAGCGUGGGGAGCAAACAGG